rnacentral:rRNA from 1 species
UGAGGAAUAUUGGUCAAUGGUCGCAAGACUGAACCAGCCAUGCCGCGUGCAGGAAGACGGUCCUAUGGAUUGUAAACUGCUUUUAUACAGGAAGAAACCCUCCCACGUGUGGGAGCUUGACGGUACUGUAGGAAUAAGGAUCGGCUAACUCCGUGCCAGCAGCCGCGGUAAUACGGAGGAUCCAAGCGUUAUCCGGAAUCAUUGGGUUUAAAGGGUCCGUAGGCGGUCUUAUAAGUCAGUGGUGAAAGCCCAUCGCUCAACGAUGGAACUGCCAUUGAUACUGUAAGACUUGAAUGCUUAGGAAGUAACUAGAAUAUGUAGUGUAGCGGUGAAAUGCUUAGAUAUUACAUGAAAUACCAAUUGCGAAGGCAGGUUACUACUAAGUGAUCGACGCUGAUGGACGAAAGCGUGGGGAGCGAACAGGAUUAGAUACCCUGGUAGUCCACGCCGUAAACGAUGGAUACUAGCUGUUCGGCGCAAGUUGAGUGGCUAAGCGAAAGUGAUAAGUAUCCCACCUGGGGAGUACGCACGCAAGUGUGAAACUUAAAUGAAUUGACGGGGUCAUAGCUGUUUCCUG